GACGAACGCUGGCGGCGUGCUUAACACAUGCAAGUCGAACGGAAAGGCCUGCUUUCCCUUGUGGAUUGCGGGUACUCGAGUGGCGAACGGGUGAGUAACACGUGAGUGAUCUGCCCCCAACUUGGGUAUAAGCCUGGGAAACUGGGUCUAAUUCCCGAUAGGACUGCAGGGUGGUGCCUGUGGUGGAAAACGAUUUUCUCGUGGUUGGGGAUGAGCUCGCGGCCUAUCAGCUUGUUGGUGGGGUAAUGGCCUACCAAGGCGGCGACGGGUAGCCGGCCUGGGAGAGUGGACGGGGACAGUGGGACUGAGAUACGGCCCAGGCUCCUACGGGAGGCAGCAGUGGGGAAUAUUGAACGAGGGGGGGAAGACUGAUGCAGCGACGCCGCGUGGGGGAUGACGGCCUUCGGGUUGUAAACUCCUUUCGGCCGCGAGGAAGCCACCUGGUUGGAAGGGUGGUGACGGUAGUGGUAGAAGAAGCACCGGCUAACUACGUG
rnacentral:rRNA from 1 species